rnacentral:rRNA from 1 species
GAUGAACGCUGGCGGCGUGCCUAAUACAUGCAAGUCGAGCGAACAGACGAGGAGCUUGCUCCUCUGACGUUAGCGGCGGACGGGCGAGUAACACGUGGAUAACCUACCUAUAAGACUGGGAUAACUUCGGGAAACCGGAGCUAAUACCGGAUAAUAUAUUGAACCGCAUGGUUCAAUAGUGAAAGACGGUUUUGCUGUCACUUAUAGAUGGAUCCGCGCUGCAUUAGCUAGUUGGUAAGGUAACGGCUUACCAAGGCAACUAUGCGUAGCCGACCUGAGAGGGUGAUCGGCCACACUGGAACUGAGACACGGUCCAGACUCCUACGGGAGGCAGCAGUAGGGAAUCUUCCGCAAUGGGCGAAAGCCUGACGGAGCAACGCCGCGUGAGUGAUGAAGGUCUUCGGAUCGUAAAACUCUGUUAUUAGGGAAGAACAAAUGUGUAAGUAACUAUGCACGUCUUGACGGUACCUAAUCAGAAAGCCACGGCUAACUACGUG